GACGAACGCUGGCGGCGUGCUUAACACAUGCAAGUCGAACGGAAAGGCCCUGCUUUUGUGGGGUGCUCGAGUGGCGAACGGGUGAGUAACACGUGAGUAACCUGCCCUUGACUUUGGGAUAACUUCAGGAAACUGGGGCUCAUACCGGAUAGGAGCUCCUGCUGCAUGGUGGGGGUUGGAAAGUUUCGGCGGUUGAGGAUGGACUCGCGGCUUAUCAGCUUGUUGGUGGGGUAGUGGCUUACCAAGGCUUUGACGGGUAGCCGGCCUGAGAGGGUGACCGGCCACAUUGGGACUGAGAUACGGCCCAGAGUCCAACGGGAGGCAGCAGUGGGGAAUAUUGCACAAUGGGCGGAAGCAUGAUGCAGCAACGCCGCGUGCGGGAUGACGGCCUUCGGGUAGUAACCGAUUUCGCCUGUGACGAAGCGUGAGUGACGGUAAUGGGUAAAGAAGCACCGGCUAACUACGUG
rnacentral:rRNA from 1 species